rnacentral:rRNA from 1 species
GAUGAACGCUGGCGGCGUGCCUAAUACAUGCAAGUCGAGCGAACAGACGAGGAGCUUGCUCCUCUGACGUUAGCGGCGGACGGGUGAGUAACACGUGGAUAACCUACCUAUAAGACUGGGAUAACUUCGGGAAACCGGAGCUAAUACCGGAUAAUAUAUUGAACCGCAUGGUUCAAUAGUGAAAGACGGUUUUGCUGUCACUUAUAGCUGGAUCCGCGCCGCAUUAGCUAGUUGGUAAGGUAACGGCUUACCAAGGCAACGAUGCGUAGCCGACCUGAGAGGGUGAUAGGCCACACUGGAACGGAGACACGGUCCAGACUCCUACGGGAGGCAGCAGUAGGGAAUCUGCCGCAAUGGGCGAAAGCUUGACGGAGCAACGCGGCGUGAGUGAUGAAGGUCUUCGGAUCGUAAAACUCUGUUAUGAGGGAAGAACAAAUGUGUAAGUAACGAUGCACGUCUUGACGGUACCUAAGCAGAAAGCCACGGCUAACUACGU